rnacentral:lncRNA from 1 species
AAGAACCAGUCUCAAAAAUAAGAAAGAUGGCUCCCGAGGGACAGCACCCGCAGUUGACUGGCAUCUGUAUGUACCCACAUACAUAAACACACACAUGAAAGUGGGACACAGGAAGGUCCUUUCGAUUUCAUUUUGCGGAUCAUGCCAUCUGGCGCAUCUCCAGAUUCAUAAUUGCGAUGCCUACUGGCCAUGUUUACUUGCUGGACUUGACUCUCAGGCUCCCGUCUCUGUAUGUGCUAAGCUGUUAGCUCUCUCCUUCUUCUCACCUCUCCUCCUCUACCUCACAAAUCUCAGGGCUGCAAACCUGAGAGUGUCAAGUGUAGCUGUAGAGCACUGGGUGGGAAGACAGCAUCUUAACUUCCAAACUUAGGCUAGUGUUUCCUUUUUCUUUUCUUUCUUUCUUUUUCUUAUUUUUGUUGGUUUUUUUGUUUGUUUGUUUGUUUGGUUUUUGUUUUGUUUUUGUUUUUUUGAGGCAGGGUUUCCCUGUAUAGCCCUGACUGUCCUGGAACUCACUCUUUUGACUAGACUGUCCUUAAACUCAGAAAUCCACCUGCCUCUGCCUGCCAUGUGCUGGGAUCAAAGGUGUGCGCCACCACUGCCUGCCAUUUCCUUUUGAGAAAGCUGAAUGAACGAGCUUGUCUCACUGCCGGGCCUGCAGAUUUGGGUAGAAAGCACAAUCAACUGUGGCCAAAUCAAAUCUCUGUUCACAGAACACAAAGUUUCACAUCGGGAGGCAGGAUUGUCUCUAGUGACGUGGCUUUGACCACACCUACUAUACCACAGAGCAGAAAGAGAGGUUAAUUUGACCCUUAACUAGACAGGGACCAGAUCGUAUUCAAGCUUACAUGUUGCUUCUUACAUUGUGACUGUAAUUCUUCUCUAUGGAUCUGCUGGCAGGACUAUUGAUUAGACACAGGAGGCAGAUGGAUUGUACCCAGUUGGGGUCAUAUUUCAUACCCCGUUUAUAACAUAUUACUAUUUUACACGUUACAGGGUUUCAGUCUGAAGAGUUUUGGUGUGUGUGUUGUUUUUGUUUGUUUGUUUGUUUGUUUUUUGUAGACUCUGGGUAAAAAAAAUAUUAUAUGCAGAUACCUGGGGGAGAGAAUAUUUUUGUGAUUUUGAAUUUGCUUUUAAGUGAAAAUACAUGUGUGUCUGUGUGUGUGUUGUAUAUGUGUGCGUUUCAGUGUUGGUACACCUGGGUGCAUAUGGAGGCCAAAAGUUGGCAUCAGGUGCCUUCCCUAACCUCUCUCCAUCUUACUAGUUGAAAUAAGAUCUCUCACAGGAUCUGGAGUUCACUGUAGGCUGGCUAUCCAAAGGAGUCCCAGGGAGCUGCAUGUCUCUGCCUCCUUGGUGCUGGGGUUACAGAUGUUUCAAUGCCACCUGGCUUUCUGUGUGCAUGCUGGGAAUCCGAACUCAGCUCCUCGCUGGUGUGGUGACCACUUUACUACCCGAGCCAUGUCCCAGCCCUUGCUUUCACUUUUAAGCUACUCAUUUCAACCACACUCUGUCUUCUCACUCCCGGAAUGGCGCCGACCUUGGACAGGACAUUAUAGAUGGAUCUCAGAUUUUGUGUAAGUGUUCCAAGAAGCACGGGUGAGCUAGAUACAGCACAGGUGAUUUCAAAGAAGAUCUGACAUGGGAAUUGCAAGAGGAUGUGGUGGGUUGUGUUUGCUGUGGGUUUUUUUCCUCUCCCUUGCAGUCCUUUCACUUUCUGGGGAUGCUGCUAAGAGCAGAGACAGUAAACUGCACUGGUAAAAUCUGACAGAUUACUUCAGAACUGGGGGCAAAUAGAGGGAGCCACCCUACAGUCUCCUUUUGACGUUCUAUUCUAAUUUCAUGUUUGUCUCAUUUUACAACUCUCCCCAUCACCUCCUGCCUCCAAGUUUUUCUAUACUUGGAAGGAGUGCUUUUCCAGAAAGCAUGGGUUUAGGCGAUGUGUUUAGAGAGGUAGCAGAGAGGUCUGAGAGUUGUUAGGGGGUAAAGACAGAUCCAGGGUUAUAUGAACUGUCUCUAAGUUCACUGCAGAAAGUUUGCCUAAAGGGGCUUUGUUGCUUAUUUCUGAAGAAGGAGGAGGAGGAGGAAGAGGAAGAAGAAGAGGAGGAGGAGGAGGAGGAGGAGGAGGAGGAGGAGGAGGAGGAGGACAGUUGGAGAGAUGGCUCAGUGGUUAAGAGCACUAACUGCUCUUCCAGAGGUCCAGAGUUCAACUAGCAACCACAUGGUGUCUCAUAACCAUCCAAUGGAGUCUGAUGCCCUCUUCUGGUGUGUUUGAAGACAGCUACAGUGUACUCAUAUACAUAAAAUAAAUAGAUUAUUUUUUUUUCGAGACAGGGUUUCUCUGUAUAGCCCUGGCUGUCCUGGAACUCACUCUGUAGACCAGGAUGGCUUUGCACUUGGAAAUCUGCCUGCCUCUGCCUCCCAAAUGCUGGGAUAAAAGGCGUGCGCCACCACUGCCCAGCAAAUAAAUAAUUCUU